CCUGACUGACCGAUAGUGAACCAGUACCGUGAGGGAAAGGCGAAAAGAACCCCGGCGAGGGGAGUGAAAAAGAACCUGAAACCGUGUACGUACAAGCAGUGGGAGCCUCUUAAUGGGGUGACUGCGUACCUUUUGUAUAAUGGGUCAGCGACUUAUAUUCUGUAGCAAGGUUAACCGAAUAGGGGAGCCGAAGGGAAACCGAGUCUUAACUGGGCGUUAAGUUGCAGGGUAUAGACCCGAAACCCGGUGAUCUAGCCAUGGGCAGGUUGAAGGUUGGGUAACACUAACUGGAGGACCGAACCGACUAAUGUUGAAAAAUUAGCGGAUGACUUGUGGCUGGGGGUGAAAGGCCAAUCAAACCGGGAGAUAGCUGGUUCUCCCCGAAAGCUAUUUAGGUAGCGCCUCGUGAAUUCAUCUCCGGGGGUAGAGCACUGUUUCGGCAAGGGGGUCAUCCCGACUUACCAACCCGAUGCAAACUGCGAAUACCGGAGAAUGUUAUCACGGGAGACACACGGCGGGUGCUAACGUCCGUCGUGAAGAGGGAAACAACCCAGACCGCCAGCUAAGGUCCCAAAGUCAUGGUUAAGUGGGAAACGAUGUGGGAAGGCCCAGACAGCCAGGAUGUUGGCUUAGAAGCAGCCAUCAUUUAAAGAAAGCGUAAUAGCUCACUGGUCGAGUCGGCCUGCGCGGAAGAUGUAACGGGGCUAAACCAUGCACCGAAGCUGCGGCAGCGAC
rnacentral:rRNA from 1 species